UACUACGAUUGUAUUAUUUUCUUAAUGUUGAACAGCAAUGGGUAAGGAAAUAAAAAAGGUUACAAAAAUUAUAUACCGUUACCUUUUGUGCAGAACUUAACUUUACAUUUAAUUUCUAAAAUUGUGUAAAUAAAUGUCCUCGCCAAUUGGCUUUUUUUAAAAAAAAAUAUGUUAGCAUUACAAAACUGAAAGUGUGUAAAUUUCAUUUCUUCCCUAGAAGUGAGAAUUCUGUGAGAAAGUGUAAAACAUACUCAACGGAGCUGGAAUCGCAGAGGGAGUUAUGACCAUCCAACAGAGAAUUAAGCUAUUUGGAGGAUUGAAUUUGAAGAAGGCAGUUUUGAUGUUAAAAUAAAAUUAGCCAAGUUUACUUUUCAUUUAGAACUAUUUUUUCAAGAAGGAGCCAUGCCACUGAAAAAUGUUCUGCUACUGAGAAAAACAAAAUGCUUUACUCUUGAUAAUUACCAUGGACCAGAUUUGUGCGUGUAACAGUAGAAAGAAGUUUUUUAAACAAAUGAAAAAUCAAUUUGUUCAUUUCCACAUAGAUAAUUAGUUGAAGGCAAAAUAAAGAUUUUCUGGACAAAAUAUCAAUUUAUCGAAUUUGGCAGGCUUGUGAGCAACUCAAUUGUCACAGAUCCUCCUUGGACUGUCACAAUCAACCCGGUCUCCGGGUGCAUGAGGCUCAAUGGAGAUUUUCCUGUGGCGGCUUUGACUCAUUCAAACAUCCAGCGCCAACUGUUUUUCCCGGGAAACAAUGACUCCUCAGGGUAAUAAAAAAAAAUAAUGUCCUCUUUAUUGAUAAAAAAGGAAGCAAAACCAGCUCUUCUGAAGUAGUGAAAUUGUACGGUCAGAAAAAAAUACAAACCUCGUCCUCAUCGUAUUUUCCCCUCAUCGCGGCCCCUUUCUCCCAUUGUUUAUUUAUAUUUUUAUACACAAAAAAGGGGAGAAUAUGGACAUAUGAUCAUCAAUUUUAAUUAAACUAUUUUUUUGUAGUACUAGAUCACACUAUUAGAUACGUGUCUGUGUUCUUGUCAAUGAGCCUUAGAGCUGAUAAAAAUAUGUAUUUUAUGUAAUUUACUUUUUUUAUGAAGUUUUCUGCCUUUGUUGGGUAUGAAUUUCAAAG